UAGUUGAACCUUGGGUCUGGCUGGCAGGUCCGCCUCACCGCGUGUACUUGUCCGGCCGGGCCUUCCUUCUGGAGAACCUCAUGCCCUUCACUGGGCGUGUUGGGGACCAGGACUUUUACUUUGAAAAAAUUAGAGUGUUCAAAGCAGGCCUUUGCUCGAAUACGUUAGCAUGGAAUAAUAGAAUAGGACGUGCGGUCCUAUUUUGUUGGUUUCUAGGACCGCCGUAAUGAUUAAUAGGGACAGUCGGGGGCAUCAGUAUUCAAUUGUCAGAGGUGAAAUUCUUGGAUUUAUUGAAGACUAACUACUGCGAAAGCAUUUGCCAAGGAUGUUUUCAUUAAUCAGUGAACGAAAGUUAGGGGAUCGAAGACGAUCAGAUACCGUCGUAGUCUUAACCGUAAACUAUGCCGACUAGGGAUCGGGCGAUGUUCUUUUUCUGACUCGCUCGGCACCUUACGAGAAAUCAAAGUUUUUGGGUUCUGGGGGGAGUAUGGUCGCAAGGCUGAAACUUAAA
rnacentral:rRNA from 1 species